CAAGUACUCCUGCCGUCUAACAAAGGAUGUCUCAACUUUGAUUAAAUUUGAAUGCAUAUAUACAUUAAGUCAUGUCUAGAUACAUCCAAAUUUUGACAAACUUGAGACAUAUUUUGUUAGACGAAGGGAGUAUAAA
rfam:Brachypodium distachyon strain Bd21 chromosome 4, whole genome shotgun sequence.